GCCAUGGAUGGCAUGAAUACCUCAGGGAGGAAGUUGGUAGCAUCUAAACUCUGAGGGGAGAGGGAUUCCUCUAAAAUAUCUUUGUUUGAUUUCCUGGAUCCUGAUCAAGCCUAUUCCAGGACUAAAAACUCUGUUGGAGAUUCUCAAGCUGACCGGUAUGACUUCAUGGAGAUUCUCAAGCUGACCGGUAUGACUUCAUGGAGAUUCUCAAGCUGACCGGUAUGACUUCAUGGAGAUUCUCAAGCUGACCCGUAUGACUUCAUGGAGAUUCUCAAGCUGACCCGUAUGACUUCAUGGAGAUUCUCAAGCUGACCGGUAUGACUUCAUGGAGAUUCUCAAGCUGACCCGUAUGACUUCAUGGAGAUUCUCAAGCUGACCCGUAUGACUUCAUGGAGAUUCUCAAGCUGACCGGUAUGACUUCAUGGAGAUUCUCAAGCUGACCCGUAUGACUUCAUGGAGAUUCUCAAGCUGACCCGUAUGACUUCAUGGAGAUUCUCAAGCUGACCCGUAUGACUUCAUGGAGAUUCUCAAGCUGACCGGUAUGACUUCAUGGAGAUUCUCAAGCUGACCGGUAUGACUUCAUGGAGAUUCUCAAGCUGACCGGUAUGACUUCAUGGAGAUUCUCAAGCUGACCCGUAUGACUUCAUGGAGAUUCUCAAACUGACCGGUAUGACUUCAUGGAGAUUCUCAAGCUGACCCGUAUGACUUCAUGGAGAUUCUCAAACUGACCGGUAUGACUUCAUGGAGAUUCUCAAGCUGACCGGUAUGACUUCAUGGAGAUGCUCAAGACACCCUCUCCCUACAUCCCCUCUGAUGGCCUGGCCUUUGACCCCCUGGUGGACCUCAUCAACGUCAUUGUCGGGGACCUCCCCGAUGUCUGCAUACUGCUGGGACCCUUUGUGGACUCCAAACAUGAGCCGAUAGAGCAGUUUCUGUUGACUGAGACGUUUGAUGCCAUCUUCUCCAGAUGUGUAGGGAGCAUCGUGAAAGGCCCUGAGGG